rnacentral:lncRNA from 1 species
AAGCAAGUUUAAAUUGUUUCAUGAGGAAGGUGAAAGUUAUGGAUGAUAAUUCCACAUAUCAUCGUCUGGUGGAAAGAGUACAAAAGAAGAAGAUUUUUAAAUAGAGAUCUUACAACAAAAGUAUACAUCCUUUUCUUUUAACGGAGAUGUGAGAUCCAGAAUCACCUUCUAGCAAUGCUAAAGUAGGGCAGAUUAUUGUUCAUGCAAUUUAAAGAUACCUAAUAUAAGAUUAGGAUAUUGAGAAACAAUUUCUAGAAGUUUACAUAAUUCUGAGCUUAAAAUGUUCUAAGAUGAUUUGAGAGUUCAUCACUUAUUAGAAAAGAAGGCUCAUUUUUAUGGCUGAAGUUGCUGGAAAUGUAAAAUUCGUUUAAAACGUUUGUCACUUGUUUAAGGGGAUCUUAUGUUGGGAUACCCUUUCUUUGCUCACUCAUGGAAAAGUAAAAAGAAGUUCUAGCUAAGUAAAAUUCGAUCUAGAUGGAGGAAAGAUUUGUAGUGUAAAUAUCCAUGAGGUAUUAAAUAGUUCUGUUUGUAGACAAGUAGUAUGUUGAUCAAAAGUUAUUAGUGAAUUCAAAGGAUUUUGAUGUUUUGAAUCAGAGUGCGCAGCGAAAAUAUAGUGGUCUGAAUUAUUUACCUAAGUUGGUUAGAAGUGCGAUUCCUUUAAUUCGGAAAGUUUUGAUUUGUUUUCUGGUGUAGUAGGAUUUUUUCUUGAUAAAUAAAAAGAGAAUGUUCUGAUUUUGGAUAGCACGGUGCUAUCCUAGAUUCUCCAGUUUUAUGUCGUGCUAAGAAAUUCUUAGCAUCUUUUGACUAGAAUUAAUGGAUC